rnacentral:rRNA from 1 species
GACGAACGGUGCGAACGUUGUUCGGAAUCACUGGGCUUAAAGGGCGCGUAGGCGGGUUCGCAAGUCUGGGGUGAAAUCCUCCAGCUUAACUGGAGAAGUGCCGUGGAUACUGCGAAUCUUGAGGAGGGUAGGGGCGUCUGGAACGGUCGGUGGAGCGGUGAAAUGCGUUGAUAUCGACCGGAACUCCGGUGGCGAAGGCGAGGUGCUGGACCCUUUCUGACGCUGAGGCGCGAAAGCCAGGGGAGCGAACGGG